rnacentral:rRNA from 1 species
AUGGGCAACCGCACCUCGCGCCACCGCCGCGCCGCCGCCGACCAGCCGGCCACGGCCCCUCCGCCGACGGCCCAGCCCAAACCCCAGCCGCCGCCGAAGCCCCAGACGGCGCCGGCCCCGGCCCCGACGCCGGAAGCGGGACAGGUGGCCAUGGGCCGCGUUCUGGGACGCCCGAUGGAGGACGUGCGCGCGACCUACACCUUCGGCCGCGAGCUCGGCAGGGGGCAGUUCGGGGUCACCUACCUCGUCACGCACAAGGCUACGGGCCAGCGCUUCGCCUGCAAGUCCAUCGCCACGCGGAAGCUCGUCCACCGCGAUGACAUCGAGGAUGUGCAGCGGGAGGUGCAGAUCAUGCACCACCUCACGGGUCACCGCAACAUCGUCGAGCUCCGCGGCGCCUACGAGGACCGCCACUCGGUCAACCUCAUCAUGGAGCUAUGUGAGGGCGGGGAGCUAUUCGACCGCAUCAUCGCGCGGGGGCACUACUCCGAGCGAGCCGCCGCCCUGCUCUGCCGCGAGAUGGUCUCCGUCGUGCACAGCUGCCACUCCAUGGGGGUUUUCCACCGGGAUCUCAAGCCCGAGAACUUUUUGUUUCUCAACAACAAGGAGGACUCGCCGCUCAAGGCCACUGACUUUGGCCUCUCCGUCUUCUUCAAACACGGGGAGCAGUUUAAGGAUCUCGUUGGAAGUGCGUAUUAUGUUGCUCCUGAGGUUCUGAAGCGGCACUAUGGAGCAGAAGCUGACAUAUGGAGUGCGGGGAUUAUUCUGUACAUCCUUCUGUCUGGUGUUCCUCCUUUUUGGGCAGACAAUGAGGAUGGCAUAUUUGAGGCUGUCUUGCUUGGUCACAUAGAUUUCUCAUCUGACCCUUGGCCUUCAAUAUCUAAUGGUGCAAAAGAUUUGGUGAAGAAGAUGUUGCGGCAAGACCCCAAAGAGCGCUUGACUGCUGCAGAAAUUUUGAAUCACCCAUGGAUUAGGGAAGAUGGAGAGGCUCCAGAUAAGCCACUUGACAUUACUGUUAUCAGUAGAAUGAAGCAAUUCCGGGCGAUGAACAAGCUUAAGAAAGUUGCAUUGAAGAUCGUUGCAGAGAACUUGUCUGAGGAAGAGAUAACAGGCUUGAAAGAAAUGUUCAGAUCCCUGGACACUGAUAACAGUGGGACAAUUACUCUUGAAGAGCUAAGAUCUGGUUUACCAAAACUUGGCACCAAAAUUUCUGAAUCAGAAAUUACACAGUUAAUGGAGGCGGCUGAUGUUGAUGGAAAUGGGACCAUUGAUUAUUCUGAGUUCGUAUCAGCGACAAUGCACAUGAAUAGAUUGGAGAAGGAAGACCACAUACUUAAAGCAUUUGAAUAUUUUGAUAAGGACCACAGCGGAUACAUAACAGUAGAUGAGCUGGAAGAAGCUCUGAAGAAGUAUGACAUGGGGGAUGAUAAAACAAUUAAAGAUAUUAUCGCUGAAGUAGAUACAGAUCAUGAUGGAAGAAUCAACUACCAGGAGUUCGUUGCCAUGAUGAGAAACAACAGCCCUGAGAUUGUUCCAAAUCGGCGGCGCAUGUUCUAA